GUUUUAUUCCUUUGAUGAGCAAAACAGAGCUGAGCCAAACCAUUUUUUAAUCAAGCAUGUUCAAGAGACAACCUGCCCACAUGGUGAUAACAUCAAAAAAUGUGAACAUGAAGCACCUUGUCCUAAUGGCUAUUAGUGUCCAUCGUGAAAGCAUGACAACUUGAGGACAAAUCUGACAUCAACAAUGCUGAGAGAAAAGCAGAGAAAUAUUGCUAGAACCCUAAUUAAAC
rnacentral:lncRNA from 1 species